ACGUGGUGCUGCUACGCUUCCGCUCCGCUGUGCGUGGUGUUGCCCAUGUGCAGUUUCUGCAGGCACGAUGGGCAGUAAGGCGGGUGCUGUGGUAGCAGGGCUGUGUGGGGCCGUUUUCCUCGCCUACUGUAUUUAUUUUGACAGAAAGCGGCGGAGUGACCCUCGCUUCAAGGAAAAGCUGCGUGAACGUAGACGGAAGCAAAAUGUUUCAAGUGCCAAGUCUGGACUGGCAAAGCUCCCUGACUUGAAGGACGCGGAGGCCGUUCAGAAAUUCUUUUUGGAGGAAAUUCAACUUGGAGAGGAGCUCCUUUCACAAGGAGAGUUUGAGAAAGGUGUGGAUCACCUGACCAAUGCCAUAGCUGUUUGUGGUCAGCCACAGCAGCUGCUACAGGUGCUACAGCAAACGCUGCCUCCUCCAGUCUUUCAGAUGCUGCUCACAAAACUGCCCAGCAUCAGCCAGCGAAUCAUCAGUUCUCAGUCUUUAACGGAAGAUGACGUGGAGUGAUGUGUGAGAAACAGCUGGUUCUCUAUCAUACUGUUUAAGACACUGAUAUCAGCUGUUUUUCUAAGAGCUCUGGCCAGAGCAACCCAUGCUUCGCUGUUGCCAGGAAAAAGAGCGAGGGGAAAAUAGUUUUUCUACAUUUGGAAUGAAAAAUGAAUAUUGAACGUCGGCCCAGAAAUGUCGGGUGAAGACUAAAUGGUAGACACUGUUCCAUUUUCCAUGAACUCAUGUGCUCACUCUGCAGACUUUUCUACAGCGCUCCUGCUCUUGAAGCAGUGGGUGGAAAAGGAGAAGCUGUCAGUGUUGUGCACAGUCGCAUGGUCCCACCCCCCACCCCAAAAGACGAGUGUGAGCAGAAGAAGUGGCCCAUUGUGGGUCUGUCUUUUGGGGGUGGGGGUCAGGGCAAGAAAAUAACAGCCUGUGUUGGAGGUCAGUCUGAAGCUGUGGUUGGCUGCUGGCACCGGGUGAGGAACAGGUUUAGAACCCUGCACAGAGUGAAACCACCAGCCUGCUCCUUCUGUAAAUAAACAUUCAGCUGCUCAGGCCCCUGCAGACUGAAGGUCACUGAAGGAUACCAGAUCAGUUGCUGUCUGCUGUGAAAGCACAUCAUCAGUAAACAGAAGCUGACACGAGGACAUGGCCUGUUAUUUAAGCAUGACGCAGCAGAUUUAUUAGCUUGCAGUACAAAACUCCUGUCCUGCUAAAUACCCUAAUGUCUUUAAUAUUAGUCAUUUGUCGUUG